rnacentral:rRNA from 1 species
UGGGGAAUAUUGCGCAAUGGGCGAAAGCCUGACGCAGCGACGCCGCGUGAGGGAUGAAGGUUUUCGGAUCGUAAACCUCUGUCAGAAGGGAAGAAACCGCACUGUGCUAAUCAGCAGUGCCUUGACGGUACCUUCAAAGGAAGCACCGGCUAACUCCGUGCCAGCAGCCGCGGUAAUACGGAGGGUGCAAGCGUUAAUCGGAAUUACUGGGCGUAAAGCGCACGUAGGCUGCUUUGUAAGUCAGGGGUGAAAUCCCACGGCUCAACCGUGGAACUGCCUUUGAUACUGCUUAGCUUGAAUCCGGGAGAGGGUGGCGGAAUUCCAGGUGUAGGAGUGAAAUCCGUAGAUAUCUGGAGGAAAAUCAGUGGCGAAGGCGGCAACCUGGACCGGUAUUGACGCUGAGGUGCGAAAGCGUGGGGAGCAAACAGG